rnacentral:tRNA from 1 species
GCUCUUAUGGCGCAAUCGGUAGCGCGUUCGGCUGUUAACCGAAAGGUUCCUGGUUCGAGCCCAGGUAGGAGCG